rnacentral:rRNA from 1 species
GAUGAACGCUGGCGGCGUGCCUAAUACAUGCAAGUCGAGCGAACGGACGAGAAGCUUGCUUCUCUGAUGUUAGUGGCGGACGGGUGAGUAACACGUGGAUAACCUACCUAUAAGACUGGGAUAACUUCGGGAAACCGGAGCUAAUACCGGAUAAUAUUUUGAACCGCAUGGUUCAAAAGUGAAAGACGGUCUUGCUGUCACUUAUAGAUGGAUCCGCGCUGCAUUAGCUAGUUGGUAAGGUAGCGGCUUACCAAGGCAACGAUGCAUAGCCGACCUGAGAGGGUGAUCGGCCACACUGGAACUGAGACACGGUCCAGACUCCUACGGGAGGCAGCAGUAGGGAAUCUUCCGCAAUGGGCGAAAGCCUGACGGAGCAACGCCGCGUGAGUGAUGAAGGUCUUCGGAUCGUAAAACUCUGUUAUUAGGGAAGAACAUAUGUGUAAGUAACUGUGCACAUCUUGACGGUACCUAAUCAGAAAGCCACGGCUAACUACGUG